GGUUGCAGAGGAGACACCAUGGCAGUUGCUGCUACAUUGGGGACUUCUGGCUCUUUCCUCUUUGCCUUAAAUUCGGGUGUCUUUUAUGAAUAAUCAAAAGCAGCAAAAGCCAACGCUAUCAGGCCAGCGUUUUAAAACUAGAAAAAGAGAUGAAAAAGAGAGGGAGGGUUGACCCUACUCAGUUUCAAGACUGUAUUAUUCAAGGCUUAACUGAAACUGGUACUGAUUUGGAAGCAGUAGCUAAGUUUCUUGAUGCUUUUCUGGAACAAAACUUGAUUACCGUCGAUGUGCAGAAACACUCAUUGACAUUCUGGUGGCUGAUGGAAUGCUGGCCCCAGGUGGUACACUGGCAGAUGACAUGAUGCAUACAGAUGUCUGCGUGUUUGCAGCCCAAGAAGACCUAGAGACUAUGCAAGCAUUUGCUCAGGUUUUUAACAAGUUAAUCAGGCACUACAAAUACCUGGAGAAAGGUUGUGAAGAUGAAGUAAAAAAGCUGCUGCUGUUCUGAAAGGGUUUUUGAGUCAGAGAGGAACAAACUGGCUAUGUUGACUGGUGUUCUUCUGGCUAAUGACAUCCAUUCUUAAUAGCCUUUAUAAUGAGAAUUUGGUUAAAGAAGGGGUUUCAGCAGCUUUUGCUGUAAAGCUCUUUAAAUCAUGAAUAAAUGAAAAAGAUAUCAAUGCAGUAGCUUCAAGUCUUCGGAAAGUCAGUAUGGAUAAUAGCCUGAUGGAACUUCUUCCCGCCAAUAAGCAAAGCGUUAAACACUUCACAAAGUAUUUUACUGAGGCAGGCUUGAAAGAGCUUUCAGAAUAUGUUCGGAAUCAGCAAACCAUUGGAGCUCGUAAGGAGCUCCAGAAAGAACUUCAAGAACAGAUGUCCCGUGGUGAUCCAUUUAAGGAUAUAAUUUUAUAUGUCAAGGAGAAGAUGAAAAAAAAACAACAUCCCAGAACCAGUUGUCAUCAAAACAGUCUGGUCAAAUGUAAUGAGGUCUGUGGAAUGCAACAAAAAAGAGGAGCUUGUAGCACAGCAAACUGUCAAGCAUUUGAAGCGAUACAGCACUCUACUUGCCGCCUUUACUACUCAAGGUCAGUCUGAGCUGAUUCUGUAACUGAAGAUUCAGGAGUAUUGCUAUGACAACAUUCAUUUCAUGAAAGCCUUCCAGAAAAUAGUGGUGCUUUUUUAUAAAGCUGAAGUCCUGAGUGAAGAGCCCAUUUUGAAGUGGUAUAAAGGCACACAUGUUGCAAAGGGGAAGAGUGUUUUCCUUGAGCAAAUGAGAAAGUUUGGAGAGUGGUUCAAAAAUCCUGAAGAAGGAUCUGAAUCUGAAGCUGAAGAACGUGACUGAAAUUUGAAACUACACCCUCUGUAAAAUAAACAGAAGCUGUAGAUAAACUGUCAUGUCUCAUGUGUCCUGGUUCUUACAUCUUCCUACCUCCCUGUAUCAAGCAUGACAUAAGGGCUUUCAUGGCAAAUUUUAUUUUAACUGUUUCUAUGGUUGCUGGAAAUGUUGGGUUUAGUUUCUAAAACCAUGUUUUAAGUAGCUACAGGAGCUAUAGAUUUGAAUCUAAUGUUGCAUUAGUCUUAUCAGUUAUCUUCUACCUCCUGUAUUUUCUACUGUAAUAAUGUAAUUUAAGGACUUCCACAAUGAACAGUUCACUUUAUUCCCUGGGUUUUCUAUAAACAGU